UCUCUUUUCUCUUCUUUUUUAGAUCAAGUGUAAUAGUAGGAAGAUGAUCUUCCUACUAUUAACCUUGUUUGCAAGAUGCGACAAAACAAUUUAGAAUAAUAACUAUUUAUUCAUGUUGUUAUUAUCAGAAUGUAUCAUGAUGUUAUUACAAGAUCUUACCACUCUUUUACUAUAGUAGAAUAUGAUUUUAGAAGGUAAGUCGUAUACUCCUGGAAAAUAUUCCAAUUGAGAUACUUGUUUUUGUAUGAGCAUCGAUCCCAACCAUGAAUAUAUUAAACUUUUUCAUAUUAGAAAUCAAACCUGAAUCUUUGGUGAAGUUGGAAAGGACGUUCAGUACUUGACACAAAAUUUUUAUCAGCUUUGCGGAAUAUCACUAAAUCAUCAAUAAAAAUUAUACGAGUAAGCGUCAAUUGUCUGCACGUGAGGUGAUAUUUGACAUGAUGUUAGACCUAGACCUUGUAGAGAAUAGCAAAAGAAAAGUGUUAUUGGAGCGACCUUCUGUCAGCCCAAGAUCGUUAGCUAAGAUCAGAAGAUUCAACUAAGAAGAGGAAGCUAUGAAAGAGAAGCUUUGUUAUGAAAGAAGAAUUGGAUUUUUAU
rnacentral:lncRNA from 1 species